GACGAACGCUGGAGGCGUGCUUAACACAUGCAAGUCGAACGAUGAAAUGGAGCUUGCUCCAUGGAUUAGUGGCGAACGGGUGAGUAACACGUGAAUAACCUGCCCUUAAUUUUGGAAUAACCCAGGGAAACCUGGGCUAAUACCGGAUAAGUAAACCUGUGGCAUCAAAUGGUUUUGGAAAGUCUUUCGAUUAAGGAUGGAUUCGCGGCCUAUCAGCUUGUUGGUGAGGUAAUGGCUCACCAAGGCGACGACGGGUAGCCGGCCUGAGAGGGUGAACGGCCACACUGGGACUGAGACACGGCCCCGACUCCUACGGGAGGCAGCAGUGGGGAAUAUUGCGCAGUGGACGAAAGUCUGACGCAGCGACGCCUCGUGAGGGACGAAGGUCUUCGGAUUGUAAACCUCUUUCAGCAGGGACGAAGCGAAAGUGACGGUACCUGCAGAAGAAGCACCGGCUAACUAUGUGCCAGCAGCCGCAGUAA
rnacentral:rRNA from 1 species